UACGUAGGGGGCAAGCGUUGUCCGGAUUCAUUGGGCGUAAAGAGCGUGUAGGCGGCCAGGUAGGUCGGUUGUGAAAACUGGAGGCUCAACCUUCAGACGUCGACCCAAACCCCCUGGCUAGAGUCCGGAAGAGGAGAGUGGAAUUCCUGGUGUAGCGGUGAAAUGCGCAGAUAUCGAGAGGAACACCGGUGGCGAAGGCGGCCAACUGGACGAAUACUGACGCUGAGACACGAAAGCGUGGGGAGCAAACAGG
rnacentral:rRNA from 1 species